rnacentral:tRNA from 1 species
UCCUGGUUGGUUCAGUUGGUAGAGCGCUCCAGUUUAAAUGGAGAUGUCCCUAGUUUGAUGCCAGGACCAGGCG